rnacentral:rRNA from 1 species
AUGAACGCUAGCUACAGGCUUAACACAUGCAAGUCGAGGGGCAGCAUGGUCUUAGCUUGCUAAGGCCGAUGGCGACCGGCGCACGGGUGAGUAACACGUAUCCAACCUGCCGUCUACUCUUGGACAGCCUUCUGAAAGGAAGAUUAAUACAAGAUGGCAUCAUGAGUCCGCAUGUUCACAUGAUUAAAGGUAUUCCGGUAGACGAUGGGGAUGCGUUCCAUUAGAUAGUAGGCGGGGUAACGGCCCACCUAGUCUUCGAUGGAUAGGGGUUCUGAGAGGAAGGUCCCCCACAUUGGAACUGAGACACAGUCCAAACUCCUACGGGAGGCAGCAGUGAGGAAUAUUGGUCAAUGGGCGAGAGCCUGAACCAGCCAAGUAGCGUGAAGGAUGACUGCCCUAUGGGUUGUAAACUUCUUUUAUAAAGGAAUAAAGUCGGGUAUGGAUACCCGUUUGCAUGUACUUUAUGAAUAAGGAUCGGCUAACUCCGUGCCAGCAGCCGCGGUAAUACGGAGGAUCCGAGCGUUAUCCGGAUUUAUUGGGUUUAAAGGGAGCGUAGAUGGAUGUUUAAGUCAGUUGUGAAAGUUUGCGGCUCAACCGUAAAAUUGCAGUUGAUACUGGAUAUCUUGAGUGCAGUUGAGGCAGGCGGAAUUCGUGGUGUAGCGGUGAAAUGCUUAGAUAUCACGAAGAACUCCGAUUGCGAAGGCAGCCUGCUAAGCUGCAACUGACAUUGAGGCUCGAAAGUGUGGGUAUCAAACAGGAUUAGAUACCCUGGUAGUCCACACGGUAAACGAUGAAUACUCGCUGUUUGCGAUAUACUGCAAGCGGCCAAGCGAAAGCGUUAAGUAUUCCACCUGGGGAGUACGCCGGCAACGGUGAAACUCAAAGGAAUUGACGGGGGCCCGCACAAGCGGAGGAACAUGUGGUUUAAUUCGAUGAUACGCGAGGAACCUUACCCGGGCUUAAAUUGCAGAUGAAUUACGGUGAAAGCCGUAAGCCGCAAGGCAUCUGUGAAGGUGCUGCAUGGUUGUCGUCAGCUCGUGCCGUGAGGUGUCGGCUUAAGUGCCAUAACGAGCGCAACCCUUGUUGUCAGUUACUAACAGGUUCCGCUGAGGACUCUGACAAGACUGCCAUCGUAAGAUGUGAGGAAGGUGGGGAUGACGUCAAAUCAGCACGGCCCUUACGUCCGGGGCUACACACGUGUUACAAUGGGGGGUACAGAGGGUCGCUACCACGCGAGUGGAUGCCAAUCCCCAAAACCUCUCUCAGUUCGGACUGGAGUCUGCAACCCGACUCCACGAAGCUGGAUUCGCUAGUAAUCGCGCAUCAGCCACGGCGCGGUGAAUACGUUCCCGGGCCUUGUACACACCGCCCGUCAAGCCAUGGGAGCCGGGGGUACCUGAAGUGCGUAACCGCGAGGAGCGCCCUAGGGUAAAACUGGUGACUGGGGCU